GACGAACGCUGGCGGCGUGCUUAACACAUGCAAGUCGAACGAAGAGCGAUGGAAGCUUGCUUCUAUCAAUCUUAGUGGCGAACGGGUGAGUAACGCGUAAUCAACCUGCCCUUCAGAGGGGGACAACAGUUGGAAACGACUGCUAAUACCGCAUACGAUCUAAUCUCGGCAUCGAGGAUAGAUGAAAGGUGGCCUCUACAUGUAAGCUAUCACCGAAGGAGGGGAUUGCGUCUGAUUAGCUAGUUGGAGGGGUAACGGCCCACCAAGGCGAUGAUCAGUAGCCGGUCUGAGAGGAUGAACGGCCACAUUGGGACUGAGACACGGCCCAGACUCCUACGGGAGGCAGCAGUGGGGAAUCUUCCGCAAUGGACGAAAGUCUGACGGAGCAACGCCGCGUGAGUGAUGACGGCCUUCGGGUUGUAAAGCUCUGUUAAUCGGGACGAAAGGCCUUCUUGCGAAUAGUGAGAAGGAUGAC
rnacentral:rRNA from 1 species